GCUAAAUGAUUCAAGGUUAUCCAUCUACCAUCGAUUUCCCUUCAUUGGCUUGUUCCUUGAAGGAAAAUCAUAGAUUUGAAACAUUAUUGAACAGCUAGGGCUUUUGAAGCCCUACAGAAAUUUGGUCGCAGAUUGGGUAACCAACAAGGACGACACCGUUCAAAGCUUCCCAAUCUUCGUAGGAGGAGCUUCACUCUUGGCUGUGCUCUUCAAUCGCGCCGCUUCUAGUAUUGGUCUAGUUACUGGUGCCGGUAG
rnacentral:misc_RNA from 1 species